rnacentral:piRNA from 1 species
UGAGAAAACUGAGUUAAUGGUUCUCACGC